rnacentral:rRNA from 1 species
AUUGAACGCUGGCGGCAGGCCUAACACAUGCAAGUCGAGCGAGCGGCGGACGGGUGAGUAAUGUAUGGGGACUGCCCGAUAGAGGGGGAUAACUACUGGAAACGGUGGCUAAUACCGCAUACUAUCGGAUAACCCAUAUUGGAUUAGCUAGUAGGUGGGGUAAAGGCUAACCGAGGCGACGAUCUCUAGCUGGUCUGAGAGGAUGAUCAGCCACACUGGGACGGGGACACGGCCCAGAAUCCUACGGAGGGAGCAGUGGGGAAUAUUGCACAAUGGGCGCAAGACUGAUGCAGGCAUGCCGCGUGUAUGAAGAAGGCAGUAGCGUUGUAAAGUACUUUCAGCGUGGAGGCGUUAUCCGCAGAAGAAGCACCGGCUAACUCCGUGUCAGCCCCGCCGGUAAUUC